GACGAACGCUGGCGGCGUGCUUAACACAUGCAAGUCGAACGGAAAGGCCCUGCUUUUGUGGGGUGCUCGAGUGGCGAACGGGUGAGUAACACGUGAGUAACCUGCCCUUGACUUUGGGAUAACUUCAGGAAACUGGGGCUAAUACCGGAUAGGAGCUCCUGCUGCAUGGUGGGGGUUGGAAAGUUUCGGCGGUUGGGGAUGGACUCGCGGCUUAUCAGCUUGUUGGUGGGGUAGUGGCUUACCAAGGCUUUGACGGGUAGCCGGCCUGAGAGGGUGACCGGCCACAUUGGGACUGAGAUACGGCCCAGACUCCUACGGGAGGCAGCAGUGGGGAAUAUUGCACAAUGGGCGGAAGCCUGAUGCAGCAACGCCGCGUGCGGGAUGACGGCCUUCGGGUUGUAAACCGCUUUCGCCUGUGACGAAGCGUGAGUGACGGUAAUGGGUAAAGAAGCACCGGCUAACUACGUGCCAGCAGCCGCGGUGAUACGUAGGGUGCGAGCGUUGUCCGGAUUUAUUGGGCGUAAAGGGCUCGUAGGUGGUUGAUCGCGUCGGAAGUGUAAUCUUGGGGCUUAACCCUGAGCGUGCCUUCGAUACGGGUUGACUUGAGGAAGGUAGGGGAGAAUGGAAUUCCUGGUGGAGCGGUGGAAUGCGCAGAUAUCAGGAGGAACACCAGUGGCGAAGGCGGUUCUCUGGGCCUUUCCUGACGCUGAGGAGCGAAAGCGUGGGGAGCGAACAGGCUUAGAUACCCUGGUAGUCCACGCUGUAAACGGUGGGUACUAGGUGUGGGGUCCAUUCCACGGGUUCCGUGCCGUAGCUAACGCUUUAAGUACCCCGCCUGGGGAGUACGGCCGCAAGGCUAAAACUCAAAGGAAUUGACGGGGCCCCGCACAAGCGGCGGAGCAUGCGGAUUAAUUCGAUGCAACGCGUAGAACCUUACCUGGGUUUGACAUGGAUCGGGAGUGCUCAGAGAUGGGUGUGCCUCUUUUGGGGUCGGUUCACAGGUGGUGCAUGGCUGUCGUCAGCUCGUGUCGUGAGAUGUUGGGUUAAGUCCCGCAACGAGCGCAACCCUUGUUCACUGUUGCCAGCACGUUAUGGUGGGGACUCAGUGGAGACCGCCGGGGUCAACUCGGAGGAAGGUGGGGAUGACGUCAAGUCAUCAUGCCCCUUAUGUCCAGGGCUUCACGCAUGCUACAAUGGCUGGUACAGAGAGUGGCGAGCCUGUGAGGGUGAGCGAAUCUCGGAAAGCCGGUCUCAGUUCGGAUUGGGGUCUGCAACUCGACCUCAUGAAGUCGGAGUCGCUAGUAACCGCAGAUCAGCAACGCUGCGGUGAAUACGUUCCCGGGGCU
rnacentral:rRNA from 1 species